AAUUUUCUAGGAUUUUAUUAAUAUUUCUUUUUAACUUAUAUUCUUAUUGAAAAUAAUAAGAUGACCCUUAAGACUAAAAGACCCUAGAAUUUUUAUAAUUUUUUUAUUUGGUUGGGGCAAUUUUUAAUAAAA
rnacentral:rRNA from 1 species